AGUAUUAAAUAAAAAUACAAUUAUUUUAUAGUAAACUUAAAAUGCUAAUACUUGCUUUUUUUUAAAUGAAUUUUUAUCAUUUUCAAACUUAAAAUCAGCAAGCUUUUAUUUUGGCGCAUUGUCAGGCGGUAAGUAUAUGCGCUGCCGGGUUUAGCGCUGCCCAUUCAAGAGUUUUGAAAAUGGCAGCAGAUAACCUAAAUUUAUGCUUUCAGUUUGAAUAGAAAUCUUAUUCAGUAUUACAGUUUGUCAAGCUAAAAUGGUAAUUGUGCAUCAACAGCAGUCAACCAUGUUGCUACACAAAUGAGUGGUCUGAACUUAUUUACACUAGGGAUGUGCGGGACUAACGUUAGUCGACUAAACGGUUCAGCUCCUGCUAGUCUACACUGAAAUCAAUAGUCGAUUAAACGAGAGAGAAAAAAACCCCGUAAUUUUAACGUUACAUUUAAAACAUUUUAACAACAAGCUAAAAUAAAACUUUUGAAAAAUAAUAAAUAUCAAAAUAUUUAAAUAUUUUUAAAAGCGUAUCUGGGCGGAAACUAUAUUUUUACCUCAGACGUCGCAUGCCUUUUCUUCUCGUCAGUUGCGGCGAGAUCAAAAUGACCAGCGAAGAACCAGCAAGGUGCUGAAUUCACCAGUAUGAACCCGAGAAAGGCUAAGAAUUAGAAAGACAAUGGACUGCGCAGAAACAAAGGAAUGACAGAAGAACAGAGAAGAAGCUGGACUGAGGUGGGGAAAGUGACUUUCAUGAAGUGUGCAAUACUGUAAAAGAGAUCUGCUACUUCCAUGAACCUUCAAAUUUAUACAGAAGAUAGAAACAGAUUUCAGAAAGGAAAGGAUGUUGGAUGGGGGCGUUAGAGGGUGAGCAGGAUGGAUGGAGGAACAGGAGGGGGACCACUAAGACCAAAAGGAGUGCAUAUGACCUUAAGGUACAGACACAUGCAGGAGAGAUAAAAAGGAGGCCGAAGAGAGGAGGAACCAAUGAAACCCAUUCAAAAGGUUCAAAACAUUAAAUCAUUUUCAUUGCAUAAAAUACCAGUGGAUGUACAAGAAUGAUAAGAUAAGACAGGGUAAAAAAAACACAUUCUGAGACAAAACGCAAGACUGAAAAAUCUACAUGCCAUGUGCAAAACAGCUUACAGCUGGGUUUGGGGUUUGAUGGACAAUUGCUAUGGUACUAAGACGGCAAAUUCACUGCCAAACAUUAACAUAUCAGGGUCACAUGGUAUGUGCUGUAAAAGAGAGAAAAUAAGACAAUUAUAGAUUCACCAGCUAUAAAUAAAAAACUAAAAUAUGUAUGGAGAGGUUUUCGACAUAAGAAAAGUUCACAGAACAAAUCAGCCAAUGUACAACGUGUUAAUGUAUUAUGAGUUAUGACUGAGUCUGCUCAAUCUAGAAAUCCUUCUGGGAGAGCCUAAAGUGUUAAUGUGAUAUACAUACAGUAAUGUUAUACAGAUAAAAAGUUUUUUUUUCUCCAAGAAAUUAAUCAUGUUAUCAUUCUAUUAAGCAAGGACACAAUAAAUCAAAUCAAAAGUCAUUAAAUUAAUCAAAAAAGAAAAAGACGCAUCACAGUUUUCACAAAAAUAUUACGCACCACAACUGCUUU